GAUGAACGCUAGCGGCAGGCUUAAUACAUGCAAGUCGAGGGGCAGCAUGAUUGUAGCAAUACAAUUGAUGGCGACCGGCAAACGGGUGCGGAACACGUACACAACCUUCCAACAAGUGGGGGAUAGCCCAGAGAAAUUUGGAUUAAUACCCCGUAACAUAGCGAUGUGGCAUCACAUUGCUAUUAUAGAUUUUUCGCUUGUUGAUGGGUGUGCGGCUGAUUAGAUAGUUGGCGGGGUAACGGCCCACCAAGUCUACGAUCAGUAGCUGAUGUGAGAGCAUGAUCAGCCACACGGGCACUGAGACACGGGCCCGACACCUACGGGAGGCAGCAGUAAGGAAUAUUGGACAAUGGACGCAAGUCUGAUCCAGCCAUGCCGCGUGAAGGAUUAAGGUCCUCUGGAUUGUAAACUUCUUUUAUAAGGGACGAAAAAAGGCUUUUCUAGGUCGUCUGACGGUACCUUAUGAAUAAGCACCGGCUAACUCCGUGCCAGCCGCCGCAGUAAUAC
rnacentral:rRNA from 1 species